ACGAAAAUUCAAAAAAGACCACAUUUGUAAGCAUUUUUCUGACCAACUGGCUUUGCCCGUGCAAGAGACUUCUAUGUCAGCACAGAAAUCCAACUCAAGCACAAGAAGCAAACAAAUGACCAGAAGACGAAAAUGGUUUCUUGGGACACUUAGGAUAGUUACACAGACUUCAACUCCAUGCAAACACAAAAUAAAUCACUUUUCCAGAGUUCACAAAUUUUUCAUAUUGCAUUUGUUCCAAGAGAUUCUCGGAGUAAUACAUGAUUUACUCUAACAGAUCAUUAGUCCAGGGAAUUGUGAUCAAUGAAACACAAACCUCACAGGCCUUUCUAAAUUUAAGGUCACAGCCAUAUUCUUGUACAUAUGAUACACAUAAUAGUCUCCGUGACAUUGUCAUGAUACACAGUUAAUGAUGAGUCGGCACUUGGAAAUACAAUUGAUAUGCAUCGGGAAAUUUACAAGGUAGGGGAACAAGCGGAUCAACAAACCAGAGAUACUAAAGAAUGAUACNNNNN
rnacentral:lncRNA from 1 species